ACGUCAUGGUUGGGACAUUGUAUGAGUUUCCCAUUAAAUCUCUCCCAUUCCUCAUAUAGAGGAUCUCUAUUCAAUUGACAAAAAUUGGUUAUUUCAUUACAUAAUUGU
rfam:Capsicum annuum cultivar Zunla-1 chromosome 8, whole genome shotgun sequence